UACGGAGGGGGCUAGCGUUGUUCGGAAUUACUGGGCGUAAAGCGCACGUAGGCGGCUUUGUAAGUUAGAGGUGAAAAGCCCGGGGCUCAACUCCGGAACUGCCUUUAAGACUGCAUCGCUAGAAUUGUGGAGAGGUGAGUGGAAUUCCGAGUGUAGAGGUGAAAUUCGUAGAUAUUCGGAAGAACACCAGUGGCGAAGGCGACUCACUGGACACAUAUUGACGCUGAGGUGCGAAAGCGUGGGGAGCAAACAGG
rnacentral:rRNA from 1 species